rnacentral:rRNA from 1 species
GGCGCACGGGUGCGUAACGCGUAUGCAAUCUACCUUUUACAGAGGGAUAGCCCAGAGAAAUUUGGAUUAAUACCUCAUAGUAUAUAGACUCGGCAUCGAGAUUAUAUUAAAGUCACAACGGUAAAAGAUGAGCAUGCGUCCCAUUAGCUAGUUGGUAAGGUAACGGCUUACCAAGGCUACGAUGGGUAGGGGUCCUGAGAGGGAGAUCCCCCACACUGGUACUGAGACACGGACCAGACUCCUACGGGAGGCAGCAGUGAGGAAUAUUGGACAAUGGGCGCAAGCCUGAUCCAGCCAUGCCGCGUGCAGGAUGACGGUCCUAUGGAUUGUAAACUGCUUUUGUACAGGAAGAAACACUGGUUCGUGAACCAGCUUGACGGUACUGUAAGAAUAAGGAUCGGCUAACUCCGUGCCAGCAGCCGCGGUAAUACGGAGGAUCCAAGCGUUAUCCGGAAUCAUUGGGUUUAAAGGGUCCGUAGGCGGUUUAAUAAGUCAGUGGUGAAAGCCCAUCGCUCAACGGUGGAACGGCCAUUGAUACUGUUAAACUUGAAUUAUUAGGAAGUAACUAGAAUAUGUAGUGUAGCGGUGAAAUGCUUAGAGAUUACAUGGAAUACCAAUUGCGAAGGCAGGUUACUACUAAUUGAUUGACGCUGAUGGACGAAAGCGUGGGUAGCGAACAGGAUUAGAUACCCUGGUAGUCCACGCCGUAAACGAUGGAUACUAGCUGUUGGGAGCAAUCUCAGUGGCUAAGCGAAAGUGAUAAGUAUCC